AUGGUGGACGCGUGGUGGCCGCUGCUGGCCGCGGCCGUCCCGGCGAUCGUGGCCGGCCAGGCCAUCCGCGUGAAGCGGCGGCGCGACGAGGAGCAGCGCCUCAAGGCGGCGCGGGGGCGCGAGAAGAGCUCCGACGAGGUCUUCGUCUGCGAGCGCGUCUGCACCUCCAAGCGGAUGCUCAAGAAGGUGGGCGCCUUCUCCAAGGACCCCAUCCCGGACACCUGCGUCACCGUCUGCGGCGUCUCCGAGCUCGACGCCUGCGCCGACGCCUGCGCGCGCACCGUCUGCGUCAACCAGCACCAGGUGCCCAACUGGAACGACGUCUGCCUCAAGCGCUGCCAGAGCGAGUGCCUCAAGCUCUCCUCCACCAUCAUGUAG
rnacentral:rRNA from 1 species